GAACUAUUUUUAGUUAACUGCCUGGUCUUCAUUGUUUUUUCUUUAAAAAUAAUAUAGUUCGUUCAAAUUUCUUCUUCAGUUACAAGAAUACAACGAGAACAGCCCACGUGUAAAGUUGGAUGUUUCUAUCCAAGCGCCACUGGUUAUCGUGCCAGUCCACAGUCAGUCUGACCGCGCACUGGUUGCCAAUCUUGGUAAUCUGGAAGUCCACAACAGUUUCAAGGUCGUUCAGGGUGGAGUGGGUCGAGAUAUUGCUGUCGUCGAUAAUAUGGCUGUUUCCUUUACAUCUCUGCAACUCUCCGUGUAUGUAAUUUUGUCUUGUAACGUUUGUUCUUCAAUUGCAUUACAAAUAGUAAAUAAAGUAAUAUUUCAGUUCCGAUCAUGAGGACUGGACUAGAUUUCAAGUCCACGCAAUUUCAUCAAGUCCUAGGCAGUGAACUCUAAGGGAACUGGAACGAUAACUUGGCGGCCAUCUUUGAAGCCAAAUUGAAGGCCGCCAUGUACGUAUGGAGUGGAAAAUACGCCACCAAAAAGAUGUCUGUUUUCGACCACUAAAUAGCUGUAUUUUAACAAGGAAAAGAGCUAAAAACUUUCAACAAUACCUGAAAUUUAAUACAAAACAUGUUUCCAGAACGUAGAGCAGUUAUAAAGUUCUUUUUUCAGGAGUCAAAGUGCGAAGUUUUUUUCGGCACGUUCAAACUUGUGUAAUAUUUUGAAUAUCAAGCUGUUACCCAGGACGUUUUUGCUGUUAGUGGAUGUAAAAUACUUAGAACUAUCCAGGAAACCAGGUUUGAAUCUUUAAAGUUGAAGCCUUUUGAUAAAAAAGUACUUUUUCUCGCUGAUUUUCGCUCAAAAACAAACUUUUGACUGAAUUUCCCGCUCCUCGAAACUCUCCCCAGUCCUUUUGAAAGUUAAUUUAUUGCUGGCCGUGCUCGCGAGAAGCGCCAUUUUGGCUUCAGGCAAGUAUGGGCAUGUUUAUCUGCAGUUAGCGUUCCAGUGUUAUUACAGUUCACUGGUCCUAGGCGAAGCCGAGGGCUGGAUCAAAAUGCGAGAACUUGAAAUCUAGUCCAGUCUGAAUUGGAGGAUUUGAAAUGACAUCUCCAGGAUGUUAGCUAGCCCAUAUACUGUCCGUUUGACGGACUCUUCCCAAUUGAAGUAGCUGAGGGGCUUUCCCAACUGGGUCUACUGGACGAUUUUCAUUUUUUCUGAUGAGAAAGUGCAUUGCGUUUGAUUUUAUAUUAUUAUAUCAAAGAACGUUUUAUUUACUUUUCCCAUUAACUAUUUUCUCAAAAUGUAUCGCGUUUCAUUCAUAUUGGGUGUGUAUUCACUGAAAUGAAAUAUACAAAACAAAGUGUAAUCGAUGUGUAUCCAUCCAUGUUCAUUCACCGGAAAUGAAAUAUACAAAACCAAGCUACCGUUGUUUGCAUCUAAGGAGAAACACGUUGGAAAAAAAACACUAUUUAUUCCUACACAAGGACUUUGAUCGGUCAAAAAAACUUUCCCAAUUUACGUUUAACGGACAAAACUUUUUUUUCUGGCUAACACCCUGAUCUCGUACGAAUAAAUGAAUACUUAAAGUGAGGUGAAUUAAUUUUGAUCCAGUCCAAGUAUUAUCAUGUGAGCAAAAUAGUGCAAUAUGGUUGGCUAAUUUACUCAUGAAUUAUUAAUGAGUUUGAAAUAUAUUAUUUCUAGUGCCAUCAUAUCGAAAGAUCAGACAAUUCUCGCUCAAAGGUUAAUCUUAAAACCCAUCAGUCUGGAGUUGUCNNNNNNNNNNNNNNNNNNNNAAUCUUUAAAGUUGAAGCCUUUUGAUAAAAAAGUACUUUUUCUUGCUGAUUUUCGCUCAAAAACAAACUUUUGACUGAAUUUCCCGCUCCUCGAAACUCUCCC
rnacentral:lncRNA from 1 species